AUGCUCUUGAUAGGCGCAACUGAAGUAGCCACAGAUUCAGUCUUCUUUACAGUGUUAGCAGGGCCGGGUGAAGGAACUGUAGCUUCAGCCUUCUUCACAUUGUUGACAGGCCCGGGUGAAGGAACCGUAGCUUCAGCCUUCUUCACAUUGUUGACAGGCCUGGGUGAAGGAACCGUAGCUUCAGCCUUCUUCACAUUGUUGACAGGCCCUGGUGAAGGAACUGUAGCUUCAGCCUUCUUCACAUUGUUGACAGGCACAGGUGAUGGAACCGUAGCUUCAGCCUUCUUCACAUUGUUGGCAGGCCUAGCUGAAGGAACCGUAGGUUCAGCCUUCUUCACAUUGUUGGCAGACACAGCUGAAGGGGCCGUGGCUUCAGUCUUCUUUACAUUGUUGGCAGGCCCAGCUGAAGGAGAUGUGGCUUUGGUCUUCUUUACAUUGUUGACAGGCCCAGCUGAAGGAACCGUAGCUUCCUUCUUUACAUUGUUGAUCGGCCCAGGUGAAAGAGCCAGAGCUUCAUUCUUCUUUACAUCGUUGACAGGACGAGCUGAAGGAACUGGAGCUUCAGUCUUCUUUACAUUGUUCACAGGGCCAGCUAAAGCAACCGUUGCUUUGGUCUCCUUUAAAUUGCUGACAGGCCCAGAUGAAGGAACCGAAGCUUCAGACUUCACAUUCUUCAGAAUCCCAUUAUUGGGAGAAACUUCGGCAGGAAAUCCAUUGAACAGCACUGGCCCACCAUUUGGUAAGGUAGAGGUUACGGCUUCCUUCUUACUACUGCCAGCGAGAUCCUUUGUAUGGCCAUAA
rnacentral:rRNA from 1 species